rnacentral:rRNA from 1 species
CACGUAGGGUACGAGCGUUGUCCGGAAUUAUUGGGCGUAAAGGGCGCGUAGGCGGCUAGAUGUGUCAAAGGUGAAAUCCCUCGGCUCAACUGAGGAACUGCCUUUGAAACUGUCUGGCUUGAGGCCGGGAGAGGGUAGCGGAAUUCCCAGUGUAGCGGUGAAAUGCGUAGAUAUUGGGAGGAACACCAGUGGCGAAGGCGGCUACCUGGACCGGUUCUGACGCUGAGGCGCGAAAGCGUGGGUAGCAAACAGG